CCUACGGGAGGCAGCAGUGAGGAAUAUUGGUCAAUGGGCGCAAGCCUGAACCAGCCAAGUAGCGUGAAGGAUGACUGCCCUAUGGGUUGUAAACUUCUUUUGUAAAGGAAUAAAGUGAGGCACGUGUACCUUUUUGUAUGUAUUUUAUGAAUAAGGAUCGGCUAACUCCGUGCCAGCAGCCGCGGUAAUACGGAGGAUCCGAGCGUUAUCCGGAUUUAUUGGGUUUAAAGGGAGCGUAGGUGGGUUGUUAAGUCAGUGGUGAAAGUUUGGGGCUCAACCGUAAAAUUGCAAUUGAUACUGGCAGUCUUGAGUAUAGUUGAGGUAGGCGGAAUGCGUGGUGUAGCGGUGAAAUGCUUAGAGAUCACGAAGAACUCCGAUUGCGAAGGCAGCUUACUAAACUGCAACUGACAUUGAGGCACGAAAGUGUGGGUAUCAAACAGGAUUAGAUACCCCAGUAGUC
rnacentral:rRNA from 1 species